rnacentral:lncRNA from 1 species
GAAAAUAAAAGCUCCUGCUGUUAUCCUACAAGGGCAAUGGGUAAAUGAAGACAGGGCUCGAUUUAAUGUCUGGCUAGAUGAAGAAAAUUUUCCUUACGUUUCCGACUACAGAUCAAUUCCAUUUGAAAAAUGGUUAGGCCCAAAGGCCGGGGGGCAAUUUUUCGCUUCGGCCGUAAUCAGACAUCGGUCUAAGAAAAUUGUUAAUUUGGCC